UUUCCGUAGGUGAACCUGCGGAAGGAUCAUUAAAGAGACUAUGCCCUUCGGGGUAGAUCUCCCACCCUUUGUUUAUAUUACCUUUGUUGCUUUGGCAGGCCCGUCUUCGGACCACCGGCUUCGGCUAGUCAGUGCUUGCCAGAGGACCCAAAACUCUUAUUAUUAAUGUCGUCUGAGUACUAUAUAAUAGUUAAAACUUUCAACAACGGAUCUCUUGGUUCUG
rnacentral:misc_RNA from 1 species